CUAACAAGGAUUCCCCUAGUAACUGCGAGUGAAGCGGGAAAAGCUCAAAUUUAAAAUCUGGCGGUCUCUGGCCGUCCGAGUUGUAGUCUGGAGAAGCGUCUUCCGCGUCGGCCCGUGUACAAGUUUCCUGGAACGGAGCGUCAUAGAGGGUGAGAAUCCCGUCUCUGACACGGACCGCCGAUGCUUUGUGAUGCGCUCUCGAAGAGUCGAGUUGUUUGGGAAUGCAGCUCAAAAUGGGUGGUGAAUUCCAUCUAAAGCUAAAUAUUGGCGAGAGACCGAUAGCGAACAAGUACCGUGAGGGAAAGAUGAAAAGCACUUUGGAAAGAGAGUUAAACAGUACGUGAAAUUGUUGAAAGGGAAACGCUCGAAGUCAGUCGCGUCCGCCGGGACUCAGCCUUGCAACCCUUGCUCGGUGUACUUUCUGGUGGACGGGCCAGCAUCAAUUUUGGCCGUCGGACAAAGGCCGGAGAAAUGUGGCACCUUCGGGUGUGUUAUAGUCUCUGGUCGCAUGCGGCGGUCGGGAUUGAGGAACUCAGCACGCCUUCACGGUCGGGGUUCGCCCACGUUCGUGCUUAGGAUGCUGGCGUAAUGGCUUUGAACGACCCGUCUUGAAACACGGACCAAGGAGUCUAACAUGCCCGCGAGUGUUCGGGUGGAAAACCCGUGCGCGCAAUGAAAGUGAAAGUUGGGACCUCUGUCGUGGAGGGCACCGACGCCCGGACCAGAACUUCUGUGACGGAUCUGCGGUAGAGCGUGCAUGUUGGGACCCGAAAGAUGGUGAACUAUGCCUGAAUAGGGUGAAGCCAGAGGAAACUCUGGUGGAGGCUCGUAGCGAUUCUGACGUGCAAAUCGAUCGUCAAAUUUGGGUAUAGGGGCGAAAGACUAAUCGAAC
rnacentral:rRNA from 1 species